rnacentral:rRNA from 1 species
CCUACGGGAGGCAGCAGUGGGGAAUCUUCCGCAAUGGGCGAAAGCCUGACGGAGCAACGCCGCGUGAUCGAAUGAAGGCCUCCGGGUUGUAAAGAUCUGUUGACAGGGACGAAUAAGCAAUGCGAAUAGGUUUGUGUAUGACGGUACCUGUUCAGAAAGCCCCGGCUAACUACGUGCCAGCAUCCGCGGUAAUACGUAGGGAGCAAGCGUUUUUCGGAAUUACUGGGCGUAACGGGCGCGUAGGUGGGCGCUUAAGUCAGGUGUGAAAACUCCGGGCCCAACCUGGGGACUGCAAUUGAAACUGGGUGUCUUGAGUGCAGGAGAGGAAAGUGGAAUUCCGAGUGUAGCGGUGAAAUGCGUAGAUAUUAGGAGGAACACCAGUGGCGAAGGCGACUUUCUGGACUGUACCUGACGCUGAGGCGCGAAAGCGUGGGUAGCGAACGGGAUUAGAUACCCCUGUAGUC